rnacentral:rRNA from 1 species
UCUGACCUCGGUAGUGCUGGACCACGCACUGAACUUAAGCAUAUCAUUAAGUGCAGGAAAAGAAACCAAAUGGGAUUCCCUUAGUAACUGCGAGUGAAACGGGAUGAGCUCAGCGCUGAAGCCGGCAGCCGCAAGGCUGUCGUGCAAUGUGGCGUUCGAGAGGUCUCAAUGUCCGUGUGCAUCAUCGGUUCAAGUCUCCUGGAAAGGUGUCCCAGAGAGGGUGAUAGGCCCGUACGGCCGACUGAUGUGUUCGCGGACAAGUCCUCUCUCGAGUCGGGUUGCUCGCUAAUGCAGCCCUAAGCAGGUGGUAUGCUCCAUCUAAGGCUAAAUAUAACCACAAGCCCGAUAGUCGACAAGUACAGUGAUGGAAAGUUGAAAAGUACUCUGAAGAGAGAGUCAAAAAGCCCGUGAAGCUGCUCUAAUGGGAUAAAGCGCACGUGUGACACGUGUCGUUCGACAGAUAGGCGUCCGGCCACUGGUUCGUUGGUUGAUUGGCGGCUGUAUGCAAAUACGGCCACGGUUGGCUAGCGUGUACGUCAGUGGUUGACCGCUUCCCUCUGUUGGACAUUGACAGGUCGUGCUGUCGUUGCAUUCAGUCCUAAUGGCGUCCAAGCCAAUGCCGGUCGGCGUUGUUGGUGCAAGCCAACAGUGUCGAUGUUGCGCUGAAUAUGUCUGCUCUCGGGCAGGACGGUGUCGGCAUAUGGUUGUCACGUCUUAAGCAUACCGCGAGAGACUGUGCGACGGGUGGCGCAAUACAAACGCUUGUCGUUUGUCAACGGCCUUUGUGUUGUCACGUGCGGCCCGUCUUGAAACACGGACCAAGGAGUCUAACAUGUGAGCAAGCGAUUGAGAUUUUCACGAAUCUCAAACGCACAAUGAAAGUAAAGUGUCGCAUUUGGUGGCACAAGCGGAGAUCAAUGGCUGUUUCACGAUGGCUAUUGCGCAUCCGCGGGCCGCGCCAUCGGCUAGCUUGCUGGUUCAUUCUGGCACUGCCGAGGCGUGGACCUAGAGCUGACACGCUGAGACCCGAAAGAUGGUGAACUAUGCUUGGCGAGGAUGAAGCCAGGGGAAACCCUGGUGGAGGUCCGUCGCGAUUCUGACGUGCAAAUCGAUCGUUUCAGCUGAGUAUAGGGGCGAAAGACCAAUCGAACCAUCUAGUAGCUGGUUCCGCCUGAAGUUUCCCUCAGGAUAGCUGGCGCUCGACGAUACGGAGUUUCAUCCGGUAAAGCGAAUGAUCAGAGGACGCUGGGCUUAUCUGAAGCUCAACCUAUUCUCAAACUUUCAAUGGGUGAGACGUCUCGCUGGCUUCAAUGCAGCGACGACUCUGAAUCCGAGUGCCCAGUGGGCCACUUUUGGUAAGCAGAACUGGCGAUGCGGGAUGAACCGCAUAUCGAGUUGAGGUGCCUAAGCGAACGCUAAUGAGAUACCAUGAAAGGUGUUGAUUGCUCACGACAGCAGGACGGUGGCCAUGGAAGUUGGCAUCCGCUAAGGAGUGUGUAACAACUCACCUGCCGAAGCAAUCAGCCCUGAAAAUGGAUGGCGCUACAGCGUUCCACCGAUACUCGACCGUUGUCGGCAUGCGACACGCCUUCUGGUGUGUCUCAGGCCACAACGAGUAAGGUGGCGUGGCGGUGAGCGUUGAAGGCUUGGUCGUGAGACCGGCUGGAGCCGCCGUCAGUGCAGAUCUUGGUGGCAGUAGCAAAUACACAAGCAAGAUCCUUGUGGACCGAUGUGGAGAAGGGUUCCGCGCGAACAAUAUUUGGACGUGGGUGAGUCGGCCCUAAGCCAACGGGUAACUCCCGCAUCCCAGUGUAUAGUUGCAUUCAUUUUGUGAACACACACCGGGUUGGUGGCGAAAGGGAAUGCGGUCAAUAUUCCGCAACCGAAUGCUAGCAUAAUUCGUACCUUGUGUGCGAAUGUCGCGGUGACGCUAAUUGACUCAGUCUCGCUGACCAUGGCUCGAGGUAGAGUUUUCUAUUCUAAUUGAGGGUUCCGGCCGUGAAAGCUAUUCGCUAUGAGAAACGAGGAUCUUUCGAGAUCCGCGCAUGGAUACCCGCAGAGCGGUGUGUACUUCACACCGUCUCGAGCGUCAUGGUUGGCCCGUGAAACACUGAGCGAAGGACAUUUUGUGCUAGCAUUCGUCCGUACCCGACACCGCAUCAGGUCUCCAAGGUGAAAAGCCUCUGGUCAAUAGAAGAAUGUGGGUAAGGGAAGUCGGCAAAAUGGAUCCGUAACUUCGGAAUAAGGAUUGGCUCUGAGGCUUCAGCCGUUCGGGCUUUUCUGUGAAGUGGUCACGGUGUCGCGCGGUCGCUUGGACCAGGUGUUGCAUGUGCUUGUCGCGUGCAGCGCACACUGGAACUAGCACGCGAGUCACCAGCCAUGGAUCGGUCUGGCUUGUCGGCCUGCUGUUGUGUGCGUGUGCGUUGGCUGUGCUUAACGGUGCGGUCGGCGUGUGCGUGCGCACAGCGGGACUAACCGCGUCGUUCGGCAAUUAAGAAGC